UACGAAGGGGGCUAGCGUUGCUCGGAAUUACUGGGCGUAAAGCGCACGUAGGCGGCUUCUUAAGUCGGUGGUGAAAUCCUGGAGCUCAACUCCAGAACUGCCUUCGAUACUGGGAAGCUCGAGUCCGGGAGAGGUGAGUGGAACUGCGAGUGUAGAGGUGAAAUUCGUAGAUAUUCGCAAGAACACCAGUGGCGAAGGCGGCUCACUGGCCCGGUACUGACGCUGAGGUGCGAAAGCAUGGGGAGCAAACAGG
rnacentral:rRNA from 1 species